rnacentral:snRNA from 1 species
CAGUGCUCGCUUCGGCACUGUAUAUACUAAAAUUGGAAUGAUACAGAGAAGGUUAGCGUGGCCCCUAUGCAGGGAUGACUCGCAAAUUCAUGAAGCGUUCCAUAUUUUU